rnacentral:rRNA from 1 species
AGUGAACGCUGGCGGUAGGCCUAACACAUGCAAGUCGAACGGCAGCACAGUAAGGGCUUGCUCUUACGGGUGGCGAGUGGCGGACGGGUGAGGAAUACAUCGGAAUCUACUUUUUCGUGGGGGAUAACGUAGGGAAACUUACGCUAAUACCGCAUACGACCUACGGGUGAAAGCAGGGGAUCUUCGGACCUUGCGCGAUUGAAUGAGCCGAUGUCGGAUUAGCUAGUUGGCGGGGUAAAGGCCCACCAAGGCGACGAUCCGUAGCUGGUCUGAGAGGAUGAUCAGCCACACUGGAACUGAGACACGGUCCAGACUCCUACGGGAGGCAGCAGUGGGGAAUAUUGGACAAUGGGCGCAAGCCUGAUCCAGCCAUACCGCGUGGGUGAAGAAGGCCUUCGGGUUGUAAAGCCCUUUUGUUGGGAAAGAAAAGCAGCAGGUUAAUACCCCGCUGUCCUGACGGUACCCAAAGAAUAAGCACCGGCUAACUUCGUG